GGGGCCGCGCGCGGGCCUCGCCGAGGUGGCGGCGGAGACGCGGGGUCGGAGGCCGGGCGCGCCCCGCGUGGCGGAUGGAGUGGCCGGGCCCGGGGCGCCGGCGGGCGGCCGCUCUGCUGCGCGCGGCCCGGGUCCCGCGCCGCUGCUGGCUCCUGCCCACCGCGCUGCUGUGCGCGUACGGCUUCUUCGCCAACCUCCGGCCUUCCGAGCCCUUCCUGACCCGCUACCUGCUGGGGCCCGACAAGAACCUCACCGAGAGGCAGGAGCCCCAGCCGGGCCUGCUCCUGGUGCUGAAGGUGCUGUGGGCUGACUUCCUGGCGUGUUACUCCUCGCGCCCUCUGCUCUGCUGGUCUGUGUGGUGGGCCCUGUCCACCUGCGGCUACUUCCAAGUCCUGAACUACGCGCAGGGCCUGUGGGAGAAGGUGAUGCCUUCCCGCCAGGCUGCCAUCUACAACGGCAGCGUGGAGGCACUUUCCACCUUCCUGGGUGCUGCUGCCGUGUUCGCGGUUGGUUACAUCAAGGUGUCCUGGUCGAUGUGGGGGGAAGUGGCGCUGUCCCUGUUCUCCGUCCUGAUCGCUGCUGCCGUGUACGUCAUGGACACUACGUGCAGCAUCUGGGUGUGCUAUGCAUCCUAUGUUGUCUUCAGGAUCAUCUACAUGUUACUCAUCACUGUAGCCACUUUUCAGAUUGCUGCGAACCUUAGCAUGGAGCACUACGCCCUGGUGUUUGGUGUGAAUACCUUCACUGCCCUGGCGCUGCAGACUCUGCUCACGCUGAUUGUGGUGGACGCCAGCGGUCUUGGCUUAGAAAUCACCACUCAGUUCCUCAUCUACGCUAGUUACUUUGCACUCAUUGCUGUGGUUUUCCUGACUAACGGCACCAUCAGCGUUAUCAAGAAAUACAGUAAACAGGACGGUCCAGAAUCAGGUCCUCAAGCAACUACUUCAUGAUGCACUGCUGACCGAUGGCACGGCACCUGAGCCUGGGUGGAUUUAAAUUUUUUAAAAAUGUGUAUUUAUGAAUGUGCAUUUCAUGACUUCAGAGCAGCCAACUGACCUUUGUUCCUAGAGUUACAUGAUACUGUUCAGAGGAGCCAGAAGUGAAGUUUAUGUCACAAAUUAUUUAUGAGAGCUCAUUUAAGGAUUACUUUUUUUUUAAAUUAAAAAGUGAACUUGUUUUUGAAAAUCAGGUGAUCAAGGGCACCAAGCAGCACAUGGUGGCAUAUACUUGAUAGCAAGUGAGUUGGGUGUUUCACAGGCCAAGUACUUCUGUGACUAGCCAGAGCUUGACCUGGUUGCACUACAGCUCCACAGGGGCCACAAGAUUUCAAAGGUCAGGAUGGAAGUGUGUUCUAUCAGCACCUAACUGUUCAACGUAAUUCUUAGGUUUGUUACUCAGAAGCAUUUGUGUUUCUACCGAUGAAGGUUGUUCCUAUCACUGGCAAUAUUUGCUCUGGUUUGAUGUUCAGUCCUGUAAGGAGUGUCAUUUCUGAUUUUAAGUUAUUUAAAAAAACUCAUUGUCUGAAUGUUCUCAGUUCCCAUCCUGACAGUUAUGUGCUUGUGUAGAUUUUCUUUAAUACAUUUUUGCAUAAUUCAUAUGCUUCCUAGAGAAGCCAUUUAGUUAGAAUAUAGAGUGAGUGUUGAGGCCUGCUGAUAAUCUAAAUGAAGAGACCUAGUCAGGAAACAAGUGAAUUUGCUUGUCUUUCAUUCCUCAGUAUGAAGGGCUGUUCAGUCCAUGAUAAAACUUAGUCAAUUGGCUAAUUUUACAACUAGUCCAUUUGUAUUUGCAUCCCCUUUUACUUCCAAAAUAAAACGAAAAGAUCUUUUUUAACAUAAUUUCAUCCCUAUUUCUAAUUUACAUGUUACUUGUCCUUAUCCAAGAUAAAGGUGUCCUCAGGAGUUAGAUUAUCCCAAGGUUUUUUUUUCCUCAGAAGUUGAGCCUUUUAAAAAUUAUUUCAGUGGCACAAAAAGCAGGAUAGACUUGAUUCCUGCAUUUGUACACUAAAUUUGACUGUGUUUUGGAGGGUGGAACAUCUUGCAUACUUGCUUAAAAUAACUGUUAGUGUGAUUCCAUCUCCAGGGUACUUGAAAAAAUGUCAUUCUGUAUACAUUUAAUUAUGAAAUCACUCUACCAAAUGGCUGCUAGUACAGUGUAUGUGAGAUAUGAAAAGUAUUGUAACAGCCUAUUCUGUUGCCUUACCAUGAAAAAAAUCUAGGGUAACUUUUUUAGAGUGACACGGAUCAACAGUGUGAAUAAUAGUAUCAAGAUUCCAAAACUGACAUAGUCAUAUGAUGUGAGCAGGAAUUCUAGAAGCAAGCGAAUGAGAAUCAGAACGGGUCAUUUGUAUUCACCUUCCUAAUUAAGGGAAAGGAAAAUGCUAAGGGAAUGGGAAGUGAUGUCAUAAAAGUAGCAGCCUCUAAUCCUGCAUUUAUUUGUAGAAAAGUGGUGUUUGAGGGAUCUUAUUUAACUUUUUAAUAAAAUGAGCUACAGUACAAUCAAAUUGUUCAUGUUACCAAAGCACUAUUUCCGUGGAAUUUAAUUCAAAGUUUGUGGCACACAGCUGGAGCCUUUACUUAUUUAAGGCAGUAAUAAGUUCACCUCGUGGUGUGUGGCCAUAUUUGUAAAAUGUUAAGCCCAAUUUACAAGUUGUAUGCAAUUCUACAAAGAAGUGUACUUUUUAUUCAAUUCUAUAUAGAUUGUUAUUUUUAUUAAAAAACAUUUUACAGUACAUUUUCCUUUUUAAUCAAAAUUAGUUAUCUUCUGCUUCAGUGGGUUUGGGUUACAUUUUAAAAUCUUUUAGUAAUUUCUCUUGGGACAGAUUUCAUGUUAAGCCUAACUACCUUGUCAUCCUGUUAAUUCUUCCAUUGCUUUGUGAUCUUUACCUUUGACUUGUCCCUCUUCUGUUAUUUUCUCAAUUUUUUCCUCAUACCACACUGCACUGUUAAUUUUUCUUGGUCGUCAUCUUGGUACCUUUCAACUUUAUUUUUAAAACAUUCUUCCUUUUAGUAACUGAAAAGACCCACAUUCCCUUAGAUAUUAACUGAAUUUUUUAAAUUAAGGAAAUAAAAUAAAAACAAGGGCAGAAGGUAACAUCCUGUUUUGAAACUUCAUGGCCUUUUCGUUCCAGCCCCAUAUUCUGAUACGCAGGAGAGGAUCGAUCCUCUUGCUGUCAGCUGAGAAUCAUUUGAUCGUUAUAUCCCAGAAACCAAAUCAAUUUUUUCUCACAGCAUUCAAAUGAAUACCUUCCCUUUAAUAUCCCAUUCCAAAAGCUGCUUUCCUUAAGGUGUUUCAUUAAUUAUCAUCAAGGACUUGAAAGUUUUCAUGCAAAAGAAGUUUUUAAAGAUAAAAUUUUCUGUCCCUAUAGGUGUAUCCCCUGUACCGUAAUGCCUUUCAGAUUGUAAGCUUUCUGAGCAGGGACCAUGUUUUAGCUUUCUGUUUUGUGGCAGAACACAUCCUAGUGCCCUAUAAAUGUUGAAUUAUAUAAA